UCUGGCCUGGGCCUCGCUGCGCGUAGCACGCAGGCUGCGGGGGGAGGGGCCGCUGCUUAGCCCGGGCUUGUCCCCAGGCCCGGCAAGACCUUGUCUGCGCCCGGCCAGACUGAGUCCCGCUGUUCCCUGGCCUGACCCAGCGCUUUUCACCCACUCCAGGAGCUGCAUUUCGCCAGUGGCCAGAGCGCCCCCGCCUGCUGCCCGCGAUCCCUCCGCAUUGCUCCCACUGCCCAAUUCCCCGGCCAUGCAGGGGGCAGUUGUCUCCCCCCAAGCCAGAUGUCCACACCGGCCAGCAAACAAGGAGCAGGGAACCAAGCUGCGGGGCUGACCAGCACAUGAGCCGUGGAAUGGAAAGAACAGACCUGAAUUAUUUGGGAGUGGAAGCAGAAUAAAGCAGCCUGAGCUUGUAGCCAGGCAGAGGCGGAAGGACAAGGCAGAAAGAACAAGACACCUGGCCCACCUCACAGUGGCGGAGAGUCACAGUUCCCCGCAGAGGUCUCUGUACCCUCUCCCUCACACAGAAUGGACAUGCA